rnacentral:tRNA from 1 species
GGAAGUAUAGCUCAGUAAUGGAGCACUUGCCUAGUAUGCAAAAGGUCCUGGUUUGAUCCCUAGUACCUCCA